rnacentral:lncRNA from 1 species
CUCGGUUGUCAUUUUGGAUAGGCAAGAAUGUUUUUAGCACUAAAUCUAUCUCUUCAAAUUGGAGGGGUCAAAUUUUCUUUGCAUGAGCUCUCAUGAUCCUUUUUGAUAUAGUUGUCUGUUGAAAGAUUAAUUUGAGAGAGAGGCUUUCCCUCUCAUUUUCGGUGUUUUCUUUUUAUUUUGAUUAAGUAAGAGAACUCGGU